rnacentral:rRNA from 1 species
GACGAACGCUGGCGGCGUGCUUAACACAUGCAAGUCGAACGAUGAUGCUGGAGCUUGCUCCAGUUGAUUAGUGGCGAACGGGUGAGUAACACGUGAGCAAUCUGCCCUUGACUCUGGGAUAACUGCGGGAAACUGUAGCUAAUACCGGAUACUUUCACCGGGGGGCAUCCUCUGGUGAUGAAAGAAUUUCGGUCAAGGAUGAGCUCGCGGCCUAUCAGCUAGUUGGUGAGGUAACGGCUCACCAAGGCGUCGACGGGUAGCCGGCCUGGGAGGGUGACCGGCCACACUGGGACUGAGACACGGCCCAGACUCCUACGGGAGGCAGCAGUGGGGAAUAUUGCACAAUGGGCGAAAGCCUGAUGCAGCAACGCCGCGUGAGGGACGACGGCCUUCGGGUUGUAAACCUCUUUUAGCAGGGAAGAAGCGAAAGUGACGGUACCUGCAGAAAAAGCGCCGGCUAACUACGUGCCAGCAGCCGCGGUAA